rfam:Clonorchis sinensis DNA, scaffold: 1664, strain: Henan.
ACAACGGCCCUAUUUAGGGCCACCACAAUGUGACUUGAGUCUUGGUU